CCUGAAUGUAUCUGAUCUUGUCUGAUCUUAGAAACUAAGCAGG
rnacentral:rRNA from 1 species